UGCAACCCCAGCAGAAUGAAGGUAAGAGAAAUACAUUAAACAAUCAACAAACCCAGCAGGUGAGGCUGGUGCCAACUUGGAUUGAGACUGGGAACAAAGGGAGCAGCAGAUGGUCUGAACCUGCAGAACCUACAGUCAAAAAGACAAGAGUCCAGUAGCAGAUGUGGACCAGAGACUUCUUGAGGGAGAAGCUCGAGAUAGAAACGGAUGAGCUGUGGGCUGACAGGUUAAAUAUAUGUUUAUCAAAACCCCAACCAAGCAGACGCCCGCAUGGGAAGCCCCUGAACAUCUGCCUGGGAAAGAAGGCAGCAAUUGCUGAGGUGGAUUGGUAGUAGGGAUGUACACGAACCGAGGUGCUCCAAGUUUCGUGCACUGGUUCAGCACCAAAGCGGUUCAAAUGAGGUCCGAACUGGUUCAGCACCGCAAGGAAGAGGGAGAUCUUAAACAAACAAGGACCUGCUGGUAAGGACCAGCUCUCCAUUGCCACAUGCAGCUUCCUUCUGCAGUGGUGCUUGUCCUGAGUCACCCGCAUGGAGCACCAACAAGCAAGCCUAUGGUUUUG